AAAUACAGUGUGUCCCUAGCCGUUGGACAAAGCCGAAAUGUACAUAUGCAUUAGGGUAUUUAAAACCAGUAUACAAAGUAUCAUAACAACCGGUGCAGCGGUUACGAAUCAUAAGUAAGAAAACCAUUUUUAGGGUUCCGUAGCCAAAUGGCAAAAAACGGAACCCUUAUAGAUUCGUCAUGUCUGUCUGUCUGUCUGUCCGUCCGUAUGUCACAGCCACUUUUCUCCGAAACUAUAAGAACUAUACUGUUGAAACUUGGUAAGUAGAUGUAUUCUGUGAACCGCAUUAAGAUUUUCACACAAAAAUAGAAAAAAAAACAAUAAAUUUUUGGGGUUCCCCAUACUUCGAACUGAAACUCAAAAAUUUUUUUUUCAUCAAACCCAUACGUGUUGGGUAUCUAUGGAUAGGUCUUCAAAAAUGAUAUUGAGGUUUCUAAUAUCAUUUUUUUCUAAACUGAAUAGUUUGCGCGAGAGACACUUCCAAACUGGUAAAAUGUGUGUCCCCCCCCCUGUAACUUCUAAAAUAAGAGAAU